CAAUGCUGUUCCGGGCCCGUUUGGCUGUGCUCUUAAACAUCAAAGGAUGACAGAUGGCAUACCAUCGAUCUAAGGCGAUGCAGCUCAGUGUGAGAACAGACACAGACACUGACACAGUCUAGAGAAUGGAGAAGGAACAUAGUACAAGAGAAGCAUCAGGUGUCAAAAGGAUCACUCAUUGUCUUUACUGCAUUAGAAAAAUGGUCACAGUAGGUAAACAAAUUCAAAGCUGUCAAAAGGUGAGGAUGUGGAGAAAGGGGAAUCCUAAUACACUGUUGAUGGAAAUGCUAAUUAGUGCAGCCAUUAUGUAAAACAGCAUGGAGCUUUCUCAGAAAACUGAAAUAGAUCUGCCAUGUGAUUCAGCUGUCCCAUUUUGGGGAAUAUAUCCAAAGGAAGUGAAGUCAGCAUAUGAAAGAGAUACCUGGACUCACAUGUAUAUUGCAGCUAAAUUCACAAUGGUAAAGAUGUGGAAUCAACCUAGAUGUCCAUCAGCUGAUGACUGGAUAAAGAAGGGAAUAGUAUGAUGUGUCUAUCCUGUAAAUUUUCAGUGUGCUGACCCCAUAAUAUGCACCAAAGAGAAAGAGACAGAAAAAGACAGACUGAAAACUCACACCUGCUGGUUCACACUCCAAAUGCCUGAAGUGGCGAGGGUUGGGACUUGGCUGGAUCCAGUGGCAGGGAACACAAUCCAAGAAUCCAAUUACUUGAUCCUUCACUGCAGCACCCCAGAAUCUGCAUUGCCAAGAAGCUGGAGUCCAGAACCCAAGCCAGGAAGCAAAUCCAAGCAUUCUGAUAAAAAUGCCUGGAGUUGAAGAAUAUUUUAAAAUGAAAGAUUAUUUAGCUCACAAUUUUGGAAGCUGACAGUCCCUAUUUAUCUUCUGUUGAAGGCAUCCUGUCAAUGGCACCAGAAGGAUCCUAGCUCAUGUAGAAGAUAUCUCAAGGGUGCACAUUAACUGGACGUUGGACUUGGAAGUGGAGCUUGGACUUGAACCCAGGGAGACUAAAUGGAAUUUCUGUAUUGUUACUGGAUUUCCUUUGAUUCAUUCAUUCAUUCUUCAUUUACCCUCUUCACUUCCUGCCCUUUAUUCCAAAAGCUCUGGGAAUACAAACAUGGAAACAAGAGAGAGAGAGGAACUAUUCUCAUGGAACUUACCUUUCACAUGAGGGACACAAUAGAAGAAUGAGUAGGAUGAUUUGGUUUCCUGUCCAUGACCAGUCACAGCUUUCAUUAUGCCUGAGGGAGAAGGGAGAACAUAAAUUUGCAACCUGGAGUAAUCUCAUUGACUUUCAGGAAUCUCUGAGUCACUGUUACCAUCUCCAAGGACUACUUCAAAGAAUGAGGACUUCUAGGCUUUCCUGUGUCCAAAAUAUAAAUCAGGGCCAAGAACACAAAAGUCCUAAUCACUAUUAGGUUCCCUUCCUCCACCAGCUCGUAAAAAAUUGUUACUGCACUUGCUUCAAGGUUACUAAUAUAGGGGAAGAGUUGUAUAAAGCAUUCUAAUUGAAGAGUUAGAUUUUUUAGCCAUAUUUUCACAAUGAAAUGUCGACUCAGUUUAACACAAUAACAAAAUGAUUUCCUAAGCACUUUGCCAUACCUUCAGACACUUGUACCAUAAAGAUUAGCAUGCCUUCAAAGUUUAAGAAAAAGAAGUUGUCUGAAAAUCCUAUUAGGAGCAAUAUAGUUAUCAGCCAGAGUGAAUGAGUCAUCAAAUUCAUUCUGAAUUGAUUAAAUAAAUUAUUAAAGCUACCAAUUUUUGACCCUAUUUCUAGCAAUGAAGUAGAAAACUCAAGGCCCCCAUAGUUACAAACUGUAUGACAUAUUAAAGUCAUCUAAAAGUCAUUGAAUAAGAAAAAAAAAGCCUUCUUGAGAAUCUAGAAAAGCAUGUUAAAAAUUUUAAUCACUGUUCUAUACUCACUGUGAACUUGGAAUAGCAAAAAAAAAUAAAUAAAUAAAAUAAACUACCACAA